UUAUAGGUUACAUUUUAUUUCAUUAGUCACAAUUAAAAAAAAUUAUGGUUCACAAUUUAUCUAUCGAUCACAUAUUUACAAAUUUUGCUUGUCACAUUAACUUUUAGUCACAUAUUAUCGAUUUUUAAAGUCACAGUUUAUCCCACCCCAUCCCCACCACAACCACCGCCAACAACAAUAACAAAAAGGACCACCACUAUAUAACCAUCGCCUGUAUCACACCACUACCCACAAAUCCAUCCGCGUCACAACACCACCACAACCACCGACAACAACAACAACAACAACAAAAAUAUAAAAAAAAAUCACCACCACACAAAUGACGCUUGCACCAUACAACCACACAAUGGCCACUUGCACAUCAAAUAACCACCACCCAUAGAUUCACCCCCGACACAGCACUAUCAUAAUCACCGCCAACAACAACAACGACAAAAUGACCACCACCAUGCAAUUGCCGCCUACACCAUACAACAACACAACUACCGUCUGUACCACACCACCACACACAGAUCCAUACUCAACACACCAUCAUAAUCACCGCAAACAACAACAACAAAACAACCAUCACCACACAAUCGUCGCCUAUACCGCACCACCGCACAACCAUAACCUGCACAUCUAGGGACGUCAAACUGAUCGAGCAGCUCUUCGCUCGACUGGCGGGCAGCUCGGGCUCGUUAUUUAACAAGCCCGAGCAUGAGUUAAAUAAGGACAGGAUCCAACGAGGGCAAAAGUCGUGGACUCGUAAAAAAUGUGAAGAAAAAGUUUGAAAAUUUUCAAAAAAAAAUAAUUUCGAGCUCGUGGGUAUAAGGGCCGAGCCAAGCAGGCUCGACCCAUUUCCACGUCUAUGCACAUUAGAUAACCACCCAUAGAUCAGAAUACCUACACCAUCACCGCCUUAUCAAAAAUUGAAAUCCCAUACAUGGGCUAACCCAUUGGCUUCAACUUGGCAAAAACAUGAAUCGGGCACAAAGGCCAAACCAUGGAUCGAGCAUAGAGGCACCAAUGCUGGAGUUACGCAAAGCAACGACUGCUCACAACGACAAGCUCUGCUGUAGUAUUCGACGAUGGCGGCCAUUGUGACAGAGAGGAUAGAGAGACAGAGAGAGAGGAUGGAAAGAAGAGGGAGUAGGGGCGAUCGGAGCUCCUUGAUCACAUCAACAAUCUCCGGUGUAGUGUCCAACCACAGCUGCCAUGUGUGACGAGGAGGAUAGAAAGACAGAGAGAGAAAGGAUGGGAAGAAGAGGGGAAGAAGAAGGAGAAGAGGCGGCACUCGCUAGUCACAACGACGAUCUCCAGUGUAGUCUACGACUAUAGUGGCUAUGUGUGACGAGGAGUAUACAGAGACAGAGGGAGAGGGAGAGGGAGAAAAUAAUUAGGAUUUUUAAUUGGGUGGAUGAGAAAGGGUUACAGUAUAUAGUGAAAAAU
rnacentral:lncRNA from 1 species